UCGUAAGCACCUGAAA
rnacentral:sRNA from 1 species